CCUACGGGAGGCAGCAGUGAGGAAUAUUGGUCAAUGGACGAGAGUCUGAACCAGCCAAGUAGCGUGAAGGAUGACUGCCCUAUGGGUUGUAAACUUCUUUUAUAAAGGAAUAAAACGAGGCACGUGUGCCUUUUUGCAUGUACUUUAUGAAUAAGGAUCGGCUAACGCCGUGCCAGCAGCCGCGGUAAUACGGAGGAUCCGAGCGUUAUCCGGAUUUAGUGGGUUUAAAGGGAGCGUAGAUGGGUUGUUAAGUCAGUUGUGAAAGUUUGCGGCUCAACCGUAAAAUUGCAAUUGAUACUGGCAGUCUUGAGUACAGUUGAGGUAGGCGGAAUUCGUGGUGUAGCGGUGAAAUGCUUAGAUAUCACGAAGAACCCCGAUUGCGAAGGCAGCUUACUAAACUGUGACUGACAUUGAUGCUCGAAAGUGUGGGUAUCAAACAGGAUUAGAUACCCUUGUAGUC
rnacentral:rRNA from 1 species